GAUGAACGCUGGCGGCGUGCCUAAUACAUGCAAGUCGAGCGAACGGACGAGAAGCUUGCUUCUCUGAUGUUAGCGGCGGACGGGUGAGUAACACGUGGAUAACCUACCUAUAAGACUGGGAUAACUUCGGGAAACCGGAGCUAAUACCGGAUAAUAUUUUGAACCGCAUGGUUCAAAAGUGAAAGACGGUCUUGCUGUCACUUAUAGAUGGAUCCGCGCUGCAUUAGCUAGUUGGUAAGGUAACGGCUUACCAAGGCAACGAUGCAUAGCCGACCUGAGAGGGGUGUUCGGCACCCCGGAACUUAGAAACGGGCCAGACUCCCACGGGAGGCCGCAGUAGGGAAUCCUUCGCAAAUGGCGAAAGCCUGACGGAGCAACGCCGCGUGAGUGAUGAAGGUCUUCGGAUCGUAAAACUCUGUUAUUAGGGAAGAACAUAUGUGUAAGUAACUGUGCACAUCUUGACGGUACCUAAUCAGAAAGCCACGGCUAACUACGUG
rnacentral:rRNA from 1 species